CCCUGGUUAGCUCAGUUGGUAGAGCGCUCCACUUGUAAUGGAGGUCCCGGGUUCGAUACCCGGACCAGGCG
rfam:Ixodes scapularis strain Wikel colony gcontig_1107728891234, whole genome shotgun sequence.